rnacentral:rRNA from 1 species
UGGGGAAUUUUGGACAAUGGGCGAAAGCCUGAUCCAGCAAUGCCGCGUGUGUGAAGAAGGCCUUCGGGUUGUAAAGCACUUUUGUCCGGAAAGAAAUCCUUGGCUCUAAUACAGUCGGGGGAUGACGGUACCGGAAAAAUUAAGCACCGGCUAACUACGUGCCAGCAGCCGCGGUAAUACGUAGGGUGCAAGCGUUAAUCGGAAUUACUGGGCGUAAAGCGUGCGCAGGCGGUUUGCUAAGACCGAUGUGAAAUCCCCGGGCUCAACCUGGGAACUGCAUUGGUGACUGGCAGGCUAGAGUAUGGCAGAGGGGGGUAGAAUUCCACGUGUAGCAGUGAAAUGCGUAGAGAUGUGGAGGAAUACCGAUGGCGAAGGCAGCCCCCUGGGCCAAAUACUGACGCUCAUGCACGAAAGCGUGGGGAGCAAACAGGAUUAGAUACCCUGGUAGUCCACGCCCUAAACGAUGUCAACUAGUUGUUGGGGAUUCAUUUCCUUAGUAACGUAGCUAACGCGUGAAGUUGACCGCCUGGGGAGUACGGUCGCAAGAUUAAAACUCAAAUGAAUUGACGGGGUCAUAGCUGUUUCCU